GAAGUGCUCCCAAGCAGGCCUUCUGAUUAAAAUGGUGGUUGGAUGAUGUAUGCUGAGGUACUUGACGUCACACCUGGGCCCAGCAGGAAGGAAAUAGAUGGGAACGCGACAUUUUUGUAUUGAAGAAAAAGUGAACAAGUCUAUUCUGCAUCUUUUUCUUCUGUGGAAGGAAAAGGAUGAGAAGAACAUCCGCUUGCAAGCAGAGGGGCAUGUAUCCCAAUCAAGGUACUGAGAAGUGUCACCUUAUUCCCCAAAGCCAC